AGAGUUUGAUCAUGGCUCAGGAUGAACGCUAGCGGCAGGCUUAACACAUGCAAGUCGAGGGGUAACAUUGUAGCUUGCUACAGAUGACGACCGGCGCACGGGUGCGUAACGCGUAUACAAUCUACCUUAUACAGAGGGAUAGGCCAAAGAAAUUUGGAUUAAUACCUUAUAGUAUUUUUCUAACACAUGUUAGAAUUCUUAAAGCUCCGGCGGUAUAAGAUGAGUAUGCGUGAUAUUAGCUAGUUGGUGAGGUAACUGCUCACCAAGGCAACGAUAUCUAGGGGGUCUGAGAGGACUAUCCCCCACACUGGUACUGAGACACGGACCAGACUCCUACGGGAGGCAGCAGUGAGGAAUAUUGGGCAAUGGAGGCAACUCUGACCCAGCCAUGCCGCGUGAAGGAAGAAGGUUCUAUGGAUUGUAAACUUCUUUUAUUUGGGAAGAAACCUCUCUACGUGUAGAGAGCUGACGGUACCAAACGAAUAAGGACCGGCUAACUCCGUGCCAGCAGCCGCGGUAAUACGGAGGGUCCAAGCGUUAUCCGGAAUCAUUGGGUUUAAAGGGUGCGCAGGCGGUUUAUUAAGUCAGUGGUGAAAUCUCGAGGCUCAA
rnacentral:rRNA from 1 species